rnacentral:rRNA from 1 species
CCCUUAGAUGUUCUGGGCUGCACGCGCGCUACACUGAAGCUAUCAACACGUUUUCCCUCCCUGAGAAGGGCGGGUAACCUUUUGAAUCAGCUUCGUGGUAGGGAUCGGGGCUUGCAAUUGUUCCCCGUGAACCAGGAAUUCCUAGUAGACGCGAGUCAUAAGCUCGCAUCGAUUAAGUCCCUGCCCUUUGUACACACCGCCCGUCGCUACUACCGAUUGAACGUUUAGUGAGGCAUUUGGACCGACGCAUCUCAGUUUAACCGCUGGUUUGUGUUGGAAAGACUUCCAAACUUGAGCGUUUAGAGGAAGUAAAAGUCGUAACA